CUUUUCAUUCACAGUCAUUUGUUUCGAGCUUCUGUCAUGUGUCACAUAAUAUUAAUAUAUCUACAUCAUACGUUAUUGGUAUCUACAAUAAUACAAACGUCAUAUAUUAAUAUUAUGUGACACUUAGACAAGGAAACUCUUUUUUCCUUGUCUAAGAUGUGACACAUGACCUAAAAAGAGGAGCGCCUAAAAGGAGGACUUCGCAGAUCGUGCCGUGACGUCACACGUAACCAACAGAUGAGGAGUGACGUCAAACGUCACCAAUUAUGUCAAAGUCAAAUGUUGCAAUGUUGGUGAUUUAAUUAAACUGAUUUUUGUGUUUAUUUUUAUUGCAACUUCUAAUAAAUUAUAAAAUAUCGAUUCACAUAAUAAUAAUCAAGAUGAUUUUAUUUUCAUUGUGGAAGAAGGAAAUAUAUUGCAAUCAUGUAGAUGGAAUCCCGCAUUCUUUAAGAAAAAAAAAGCAAUUUCCAGAAGGAAACUACCAAUAAUAAAAUAAAGUAGAUAAUGCAAGAAAGAACAAAGCCAUUAUUUAACAUAGCUCAACAACUUCACAUAGAAAAAGAUGAGGAAAGGGCACAACAGAAGUAUGCCAGAUAAAAGGGUAGAAGGGAGACACAGAUAAGAAGUGGAUUUAUUCAAUUUAAAAAUUAAACUGCAAAUGACAAAUAAAUAAAUAAUAAAAAAUAUCAUAGGUGUA